UUAUCGCUGUAUAGUAAACCGCAUUACACAUAAAAACUUGCCCUAAAUUGAACAUAAAAAAUAUAAACCGGAGAAAAAAUUAUGUUAACCAGAUGUUAUAAUACACUAUAACCAUUAUUAUUUUUAGUCUUUCAGUUGUGAAAUAAUUUUUUCAUCUGAACAGUGACGUAGCUAUAUGGAUUUAAGUGUCCUGUGGCAAAUUCAAAUUAUGUUCCUUAAUUACUAAGUCAAUUUUUUUCCUUUUCCAAACUCUAAUUAUAUAGUUUUUCCUUAGGUAAUUAUUCCUAUGAUGCAAAACAUAUAGAUGUUUAAAGUGGCUACAUAAUAUGUUUCACUUAAAAAUACAAUACGCAAUACCUAUUAUACCAUUAUACCUAUUAUACUUUAAUGACACAACAUUAAAAAUGACAAAUUACAAAU